GGACAAAAACAGGGGGAGAGCUUCCCCACCUUGAAUUCGUUAGAUCAGAGAGUUCUCCAGCGAACUGGAGUUGGUAUUUAGACUGUUUAUUACAAGAGUUGCAUUUUUUAAGGCGUUUGCGCCAGAUUAUAAUUAAGAUCAUCACAUACGCGUGAAAUGAUAAGCCGGUCAUUGCUCCUUUUGUUUCGGAAGAUUUCUCUAUUUCUGGCGUCCCAC
rnacentral:lncRNA from 1 species